UAAUAUGAUGAGAAACAUAUUUUACACAGACCUGAUCUGAAUACUUUAUGCAGAUAAACAAAUAUUGCAAUUUAUUUCUGACU
rnacentral:snoRNA from 1 species